rnacentral:misc_RNA from 1 species
GAUGAAGAACGUAGCGAAAUGCGAUACUUGGUGUGAAUUGCAGAAUCCCGUGAACCAUCGAGUCUUUGAACGCAAGUUGCGCCCGAAGCCAUUAGGCCGAGGGCACGCCUGCCUGGGCGUCACACGUCGUUGCCCCCCCCAUCUACUCCUUCGGGAUUGCGGGGGGCGGAUGAUGGCCUCCCGUGCGCCUCGCCGCGCGGUUGGCAUAAAUGCCAAGUCCUCGGCGACGCACGCCACGACAUUCGGUGGUUGCGAAACCUCGGUUGCCCGUCGUGUGCGGUCGUCGCGCAUCGAGGGCUCGAAAAAAUUGCCGAGUUCCGGCUCGGCUUUCAACGCGACCCCAGGUCAGGCGGGGUUACCCGCUGAAUUUAAGCAUAUCAAUAAGCGGAGGA